UGAGGAAUAUUGCACAAUGGGCGCAAGCCUGAUGCAGCGACGCCGCGUGUGGGAUGAAGGGGCUACGCCUCGUAAACCACUGUAGCCCGGGACGAAAAACGCCUUAGAGGCGUUAGACGGUACCGGGAAAGUAAGGGUCGGCUAACUACGUGCCAGCAGCCGCGGUAAUACGUAGGACUCAAGCGUUGUCCGGAUUUACUGGGUGUAAAGGGUGCGCAGGCGGAUGGGUAAGUCAGGGGUGAAAGUCUGCAGCUUAACUGUAGAAUUGGCUUUGAUACUGCUCAUCUUGAGUGUGGGAGGGGUCGAUGGAAUUCCGGGUGUAGCAGUGAAAUGCGUAGAUAUCUGGAAGAACACCAGUGGCGAAGGCGGUCAACUGGCCCAUAACUGACGCUCAUGCACGAAAGCGUGGGGAGCAAACA
rnacentral:rRNA from 1 species